UUCCCAGCUUGGAGCAGCUGCUGCUGCUGGGCAGAUGCUGCCAGUGUGACUGCUUCCAAAAAGGACUAAAGGCAGAGAUGUACAUGCACAGGAGCCCUGGGCAUGUCCGAAAACGUGCAAAUAUGUGGGGAGAUUUUUAGCAAUUAUUUCAGCUGUUCUGCCAACAGUGGCUUCUCUCCUGGCUCUGUGUGUUACAGAUGAGUAAUGUAAUGGUUGGCUCUCACAAUUAAGAGGUAGAUGUUAUGUCGAUGUAAAAAUGUAAAGUGAUGUUACUCUUAAUAUAUCCUUCCAUAUUCCUCUUCCCCCUUGUAAUAACCUUAGUAUUCAAGGCAUUUGGGGAGGACUGGCUUGUGACCAGGAGGCGAGGUGUAAAACACCUGACCUCCAAUUGAGAUGUAAGAAAAUAAUCUCCAGCAAUGGCCAGCCGAGAAAGACUUGACUGACCAAACUUUUGGAGGGGCUAAGGGUAUCGAAGGCAGAGUAUCUCUUUUGUAGAUGAGGAUGUGGCUGCAAGCCACACAGACCGCCAGUGCUGAAAUUUUUUCCUUGUUAAUUCCUUUGUUAAGGUUUAAUAAACCUUUAAAAUUUUAAAAGUGAGCAUCAUUUCUCACAUGUGCGAUGCUGUGGGCAUCUUGAUCUGGUUUCCUUUGCUUGGGUCCCAUCUGAGUGCUCAGUUGGGGUACAGGCUGUAGGUGCUUGGAGCACUCUUGGAGUUGCUCUUGGAUCCCUUGAACAACAGGGUUUGGCCCAGGGGGGGAAUUUGUGCUGUUUUGUGACAGAGGAGAACUUCCCAGGCUAUUUUGUGUUUGUUAUAGGGAAGGUUGGUUAUUGCUUUGCAUAAAGUCACAGACCAACAUGGAGCGUUUGCUUUGUGAUGUCAGGGCAUGGUUGCCACGUCAUAGUGGUGACAUGAGAAGGUUGCCUUGGUGCACGGAAGGCCUCAGUGUCAGAGCAGUCCUAGGGCUUGCUCAGAGCAGGAGCAUCCUGCGUGUUGAGGCAUUUGUCAGUGGGCAGCCGCACACUGACAGGAGCCUUGUUUGUUCUAGUGUUGGAGCACAGCGUGCAAACUUGCACAGCAGUGCUACAAUGAUUCAGCAGCUUGCUGCUGCAGUGGUUAAUGUUUAUGGCGUUACUUAUUUCGUCUAUUUUCUGACUCACGUGGCACGUGACCAGAGCAACAGCCGUCUCUCCCCUGGCUCCCUCUGCUCCUGGAGAAGAAGACAAAGAGGAGCAAAGGAAGCAGGACAGCCGCAAGCGUCAAUCUGUGGUCCCAGCACAGCCUGAUCAUCCCAAGAGAGGAUACAGCAGCUGGAAAACUCUCACGUCCGAGCUGCGAUCUCAGCAUGCUUUUUCCCUCCCCAGCAGUGAAUGAGACAGGCUUCAAGGCUUCUCAAUGAACUGUCUGUAUCUCCACAGCAACUUUCCUGAGCUCUCCCUCCUGCAUCCCCAUCCAUCUCUCUGGGCAGAGCCAUCCCUGCCCUGCUCAACCCCUGGCUGCCACCUGCUGCCUCUGUCCGCCCCCCUGCCCGCUCUCCCAAAGGCAGAGCCAAAUCCAAAGCCCCCCCACCUGCUGUAAUCUGAGGCUGGGGAGCCAAAAGCAGCGAAAAUCCUGGAAGAGGCUUGGCAGAGGAAUCUGUAUGAAAAGAGUCCUCAGAGCUGCAAACUGUCUGCCUGAGCCUGAUCCGAGGCGGUGACAUCCUGGGAAGGGAAACAGUGGCAGGGAUGACCCCCACAGCCCCUCGGCCAGGCAGAGCGGAUCCAGAGCCCCCUCGGCAGAGCCCGCCUGCAGAACUUCAGAACAAGAUCCAGACACAUCUUGUUCAGAAGAGGAGCAGGGCACAGAAACAGCAGCUCCUGUUUUGCAAUGUUUCCCCAUACUCUCAUCUGCUGGAUCCGUUCUACUCCCAACCUCUCCAGAACAUGACACCUGACCCCCCAAAUUUUCGGAACGCAAUUAAAAUCCUAAUUGCUUCCUGGGAAUUCUGGUGGUGGAUGAUUUCAUGGAGAAUGGGAGGACAUCCUGUUGAAGCACCAGUGACAUAGGGAACCCUGGAAGAAACAGAGGACACGACCGAAAUUGGAAGCUGAUCUGAUUCCCCCUUCCCAGGGUUUGGGAUGCUGUCCACACUGCCUGGGGAAACCCCGAACACACCAGGAGAAGGGAAGGAACCCCAAACAAACCCUGAGAUCUCCCAGAGGAGGAUGAAGGCCCAGCACGACUCAGAAUUAAUGUGUCAGAACCAGGAGCUCUGUUUUGGUGUCUGAGAAAGUCUCUGUCAUGGUCAUUUUGUUCAAAGCUCUCCAUUAAAGCUCUGGAGACAGGCA